UUACAAGCAGGCUUUACUUCAUGAACAAUAUUCCCACCCGGAAGCUGAUUCAAAAUGUCGAAAACUUCAUCCGGUGUGAUAGACCUGCCUUGUUACCAUGGUGAUACAAUGAUAUUGUAGUCUGUAGAGGGACAAGGAAGAAGAUGGACGAAAACUAGGAAUAGAAGAAGAAAAUAAAAUGAUCAACUUGACCUCCAUUAUACCAAAUGUGAAAAAGGCAGAGGCCCGAUCAACAGGUAAGGGUCCACCACUACCACUGUACAAUUUGUGACCACAGUCACUUUUACAUUAUUAUAUGUAAUUUGUAAGGUGAAGUAAAAGGUGGUGUUAUAUUAGUGAUGUGUCUGUAACAGUUUUAAAAUAAAAAACCGAACCACACACACACACACACAUGCAAAUGCAAAGAAAGUAGUUCACUAAUCUGGGGUAAAUGUGUAAUUUAACACUCUUAUCUUUGUCCUACCAGGACUGGCCAGACGCGCUGUUACAGUGUGGCUCCCAGCAGAACCUGAGCCAGGGUUGAGAUGACCACAGGAAUGCUGAAGGCCCGGUUUCAGUGCCUUCACAAACACAGGGUCAGCCCACAAAGGGCCUGUGAUAUCAUAGUUGCUUGAGUGAUUUUAUAAGACUUAUAGCCAGUAUUAGAGGUGAAAACUAUCCUGUUUAUGAACAAAUUGUUCCAGACGACAACGUGGGCCACACUGUUGACAUGACAGAGGGCACAGCAGUUAUGUAACAAUA